ACCAUUGCAUAAGGAGUAUAAAGACUUUUCCCUGUAGUUAUCUUACAGACUGGAGAGAGUGCUAGUGAAUGCUUUUGUCUUCAAUGCCCAUCUCUUGGAAAUGUUGAAGGUGGAGUAGCAACCGGGCAUUAUAUUAUCUCUUGGAAACGGACCUCAGCAAUGGAGAAUAUCCCCGUCAUCACAACUGUCAUCACUCUGCCGCACGUGAUUGUGGAGAAUAUCCCUCUCCAUGUGAAUGCAGUGUGUCAUCUUUCUCUGUAGAUCUGCCAUCAUUUGGGCGUGUCAGAGAGUCCUUGCCUGUCAAGUAUCACCUACAGAAUAAGACCGACUUAGUUCAAGAUGUAGAAAUUUCUGUGGAGCCCAGUGAUGCCUUCAUGUUCUCAGGUCUCAAACAG
rnacentral:sRNA from 1 species